rnacentral:lncRNA from 1 species
GAAGGGAAAGCUACUUGAGGUUGCUAGUUUUGGCUAAUGGCGGCGAUGACGCAAGCAGCAGCGCUAGGGUUUUUUUUUUCAAGAUGGGGAAUGACAGAUGCGAAUGACUAGAAGCGUAAACCACGGAGGCUACCGGCCUUAUCUUUUAAAACAACACAACGGAUCUAAAACGACCCCGAGAUUCUGGCAACACAGCCACUAAUUUCGCAAUGGUCUCAUACUCUCCAGAUUUAUCACGAGAAUGAAGUCCAACGGUCACGUUGAUCAUGGUUGACCCCUUCAUUGCUUGAGCGUAGUCGAUCAAAGUGCACGGGGCUGCAUACACCUCGCUCGUUGGACAAAAUUUUCUUUUUCUUCAGUGAUUAAGGAAAGACAAAGCAAAUUCAGUUUGACCCUCAUCCUAAUUCUUCGAUUCAACCUAAAGCUCGGGGGCUACUCCAUAUGGAGUGCGAUUUUCAUUGCACUUCCAUAUAAAAGACUUGAA